UGCAGUCGAGCGAGUGGAUCUCGAGAGCUUGCUCUCAAGAAGUUAGCGGCGGACGGGUGAGUAACACGUGGGUAACCUGCCCAUAAGACUGGGAUAACUCCGGGAAACCGGGGCUAAUACCGGAUAACAUUUUGAACUGCAUGGUUCGAAAUUGAAAGGCGGCUUCGGCUGUCACUUAUGGAUGGACCCGCGUCGCAUUAGCUAGUUGGUGAGGUAACGGCUCACCAAGGCAACGAUGCGUAGCCGACCUGAGAGGGUGAUCGGCCACACUGGGACUGAGACACGGCCCAGACUCCUACGGGAGGCAGCAGUAGGGAAUCUUCCGCAAUGGACGAAAGUCUGACGGAGCAACGCCGCGUGAGUGAUGAAGGCUUUCGGGUCGUAAAACUCUGUUGUUAGGGAAGAACAAGUGCUAGUUGAAUAAGCUGGCACCUUGACGGUACCUAACCAGAAAGCCACGGCUAACUACGUGCCAGCAGCCGCGGUAAUACGUAGGUGGCAAGCGUUAUCCGGAAUUAUUGGGCGUAAAGCGCGCGCAGGUGGUUUCUUAAGUCUGAUGUGAAAGCCCACGGCUCAACCGUGGAGGGUCAUUGGAAACUGGGAGACUUGAGUGCAGAAGAGGAAAGUGGAAUUCCAUGUGUAGCGGUGAA
rnacentral:rRNA from 1 species